CCCCUAGAUGUUCUGGGCCGCACGCGCGCUACACUGAACAGUUCAACAAGUCUUAACCUUGGCCGAUAGGUCUGGGUAAUCUUUGAACGCUGUUCGUGAUUGGGAUAGACCUUUGCAAUUAUGGGUCUUCAACGAGGAAUUCCUAGUAAACGCAAGUCAUCAGCUUGCAUUGAUUACGUCCCUGCCCUUUGUACACACCGCCCGUCGCACCUACCGAUUGAAUGGUCCGGUGAAAUCCUCGGAUCGAGCCGUGGGGCAACUCCGGUUCGAGAAGUUGAUUAAACCUUACCAUUUAGAGGAAGGUGAANUCGUAACA
rnacentral:rRNA from 1 species